rnacentral:rRNA from 1 species
UGGGGAAUCUUGCACAAUGGGGGCAACCCUGAUGCAGCGACGCCGCGUGAGCGAUGAAGCCCUUCGGGGCGUAAAGCUCUUUCGACCGGAACGAUAAUGACGGUACCGGGAGAAGAAGCUGCGGCUAACUACGUACCAGCAGCCGCGGUAAUACGUAGGCAGCAAGCGUUGUUCGGAGUUACUGGGCGUAAAGAGUGCGUAGGCGGUUUUCUAAGUUCGGUGUGAAAUCUCCCGGCUUAACUGGGAGGGUGCGCCGAAGACUGGGAAGCUGGAGUGUGGGAAAGGCAGGCGGAAUUCCUGGUGUAGCAGUGAAAUGCGUAGAUAUCAGGAGGAACACCUGCGGUGUAGACGGCUUGCUAGACCAUAACUGACGCUGAGGCACGAAAGCGUGGGUAGCAAACA